CGCAGGGCCGCGGCAGUAACUGCGAGGCGUAGUGGUUGGGCCACUGAGCCUAUGCAGCCGAUCUAUGUCGCCGCUGCCUGGAUUCCCCGCCGCCUUUGGAAGGACCAUCUGAAUCGUCGGAGAUGUAGCUCUUGAUGCAGCCAACAAGAAGAUUGACAGUGAAAUCCCUAUGCAGCCGCUGCACCAUCCAGUGGCAGGUCAAGAAGGGGGGCGCGGUGGGAUGCAGGUGGAUAAGUGUUCCGCAGGCGGACAGAUCUGUGCUCGAGAAGCUGUGGCGACGGUGGAACGAGAAGGUUCACCCCAUGCCUCAGAGUUCUCCACCGGGAAGAUGAACCCGCAAGUUCCAGGCUGGACUAAAAGUGGAGUGCCUGAGGGUUCUCCUGGGAGAAGGAACUGUGCUGCAAGUCGGGAGGCGCACCAUCCCGUCCGCGCUCAA